UUUACACUAUUUUGAAAAAUACGCAGUUUAAAACAUUUUUUUUAAAAAAUUUCAAUUUUUUUUUAAAAAAACGUGUUUAAAACGCAGAUCGGCUAACUAUUGUUUGCAACUGAUCGGGUCAGGUCGGGUCCAUGUUGAUUCUGACCCUCCUAGGUUCCACCCGGACCUACAGGUUGAUUUGGACCUAGAUUGGGCUCUAGAAAUUAAAACUAAAAUUUUUUUUUUGUUAAUAUAUAUUUUAUAUGAGUAAUGAUCCUAGGAUCUUCCUCCACCCACAUGUGUAAGACCUUAAAUGAUCACCAUUAAAGUUGGUAUGGAUUUAUAGAAAAGUCAAAUUCUACAUCCAUGUGAUAAUUUUAAUAGAACUUCGUACCAAUUUUUAUGAUGAUCCUUUGAGGUCCUUCACAUGGAUAGAGGAGGGUCUAUAGGAUCAUUACUCAUUUUAUAUAUACUUAAUAAAAGGUCGGAUGGGGGUGGAUCUGAGUCAUUUGGCCCACAUCCCAACCCUCAUGGGUCCAAAACAUGGACGUGGACCCAAACCACCCGGCCUAUUUGCCACUCCUAAAUGUAGGGGCUUGAAAAAUUUUAUUCGGUAUAAAAAGAUGUUUUAAAUAUUAUGUUAUAAUUUAUUUUUUCACUACUUUUAAAUUUCAUUUGGAUGUGUUUUGCUUAAAAGUAAUGAUCCUAUUAGACCCUCUCAUACUCAUGUGUAGAAGAUCCGAAAAGAUUGUCAUUAAUGUGGGAGAGAUUAUUAGAAUAAUGAUUGUAUGAGAUCCUCUCAUACUCGUGUGUAUAGGACUUUAAGAAUCACUAUUAAAUUUGACACAGAUAUUUAAAAAAGUUAUCUCUAUUAAAUUUGAUACAGAUAUCUAAAAAAAUUAUCACAUGGAUGGGAGAUUUGAUUUUUCUAAAUACCAAUAUUAAAUUUAAUAGUGAUAGUUUAGAGUCCUACACACGAGUAUCUCAUAUGAUGAUUACUCUCUAAGCUUACACGCAUGGCGGAUCUCAUAUGAUCAUUAGUCUUUAAGCUGAUAAUAUUGAUCCUAAAGACCCUCUCACAUACAUAUUUUUUAUUUUUUAAUUUUUAAUGAUUUUGAGACCAGCCAGCUUAGUUAGGCCCUCUUAAUCGGCCGGUUUACUGGUUGCUCGGACCUAGUCGUUCACGCGUUUCUGAGGCGGCCUUGAUUUUUCGAAGACCGGAUCUACGGACGGCGGUGAUAGCUAAUGUGUUCUCCCAUCGCCGAUGCGGUGAGUGUGUCUUCUCUCGUCGCCGUCCAUCGGCUGAUCGUAUGGUGCAGAUAUCAUACUUUCUGAUUCCCAAAAAAACACGUGAAAACCCUAACGACUUUCCAUCUGUAUAUAUAUCUAUACCAGAUACCCAACUCUCCAAAACCCUAGAACUUCAUAUUGUCGCGGUGUCCUUUGCUCCUGUUAUCCAUGGCUUCUUCCUGAGAUUCCAACUCUAUUUCUCUGUUAUCAAUAAACUCUAGUUCUUCCUUAAUAUCCAAAAACCUAAGUUUCAAACAGUCAAAAAGCUCUAGCUAUCUCUAUGAUUCUGAAUAUCUGUUGCCCUAAUUCCUGGUCUGUUUUUUCUGAAGUACUUUACAGUGUGUAUAUGUUCAGCUUGUAGUUUGUUUUUUAUUGCUUUGAUUGAUGAUCUAGCACGGAUUUCUGUAUAUUUAUUUGAGUUGAAAAUGAGUGGGAAAUUUUUUUAAAAAGCAAGGCAGCUUCUUGUUUGAAAGAAAUCUCUGCUUUCAGGCAACAAUUCAAUUGAAACUUGCGAUAUCAAUAUUCAGCUUCACUCGCCUGCUUUUGAUUUUGCAAUGAUAUUGCAGGCCCUUUUACUGCUGGUACAAUUACCAUUUGUUUUUAAAAUUCAUUAUCUUUUUAAAUUUUUUUUUUGGUUUUUCUUUUGAAAGUAUGGCUUAAAUUGAUCAUAAAUGUUACAUUUGUCAGAGAGAGUCUUGGCCAGAUGUUUCUGUCCAUUUAAGUUGUGUUUGGAAAUGUACUAAUAGCUUGUAUUCUGGUUUUUCAAUAUGAAGCAAACGCACUCUGUCCCAAGACUAACUAUCAGUGUUUUGAGGCAAUUUCUUCGUUUGCGAAAUUGAAUGCUCCAAUCAAACUCGUCACUAAUGAUUCUGAAUUGAAUUUGUAGACGCAUGGUUGGACUACAUUUUGUUUCUUGGAUUUCUUGAUUUCAUUUUCCAUAGGUUUUAUGGAUUCUAUUAGGUUUUCGAAGGAUUAGGAUAAUGCUAGCAAUUUGCAAGCACUUGACUAUUGGUUCAGGAAUUUAGGUGGAGUGGUUUGCAGCUCUGAUGGAUCCUGAAAACAAUGAAAAUAUAAAAUCAAAUAAAAACUUGAAAGAUCUAAGAUUUCUCUCUAUUUUUGGAUCUAUAAAGUUUUUGGGGGUUUUGGUCUCAUGGAUUGUAUGGAAUAUGGCAUAUAUGAAAUGGGUUUUAGAUUUUUCUCACGUAUUGAGCUCAAUCACUGGAUUCGUGAAUUGGUUUUUAUUCUACGGAUUUUUUUUCAUGGAAUGAAUUGGGCUCUAUCACUGGAUUAGUGAAUUGGUUUUUAUUUUACGGAUUUUUAUCAUGGAAUGAAUUGGGUUUUGCUGGUUUGUUGUGAGCAUAAUUAGCAAAUUGGUAUUUUAAACGCGAUUUUUUUAAAAAAUUGGAGUUUUUUAAAAAAAUGUUUUAAACUGCGUAUUUUUCAAAAGAGUUUUAAAAAAUUGCAUCUUUUUCAUGAAGAAGUUUAACUACGCGAUUUUUUAAUUUUUAUAAGAAAUCGUUUCAAGAAAACGGUUAUAUUAAUAAUCCUCCAUGGUACACAUAGAGAUAACUGUGAACGAGAACAUUUUAUCGACGGGUAUAGAUAGAAAUAUAAUUAUCUUAAAAAAAUUAGGAAAAACAAAGAUAAAUAAGUUUCAAAAAUUUUCAAAUUGAACUACAUCACAAAUGGUUGAUGGGUAUGGAGAUCGAUAGAUAUAGAGAAAGAGGAAAAAGAGAAUUUAUAAUGCAAGCUUUAGAGAAAGAGAAUCGGUGUUUAUAUUGAAAUAUAGAUAAGUCUUUCAAUUUAACGACAUUUCAAAGAAAUUAUAGAGGAACAAUCUGAUAGAGUUUUUUUAAAUCACAUCAAAAAAUUCUCAAUUUUAACAUAACUCAAUAAUCCUCAAAUUAACAUAGCUCAAAGAACAUAUUAAGAAAAAUAAACUAAAAUAAAACGUACAAAAAUCCCCAAAUUAACAUAGCUCAAAGAACAUAUUAGGAGAAAUAAACUAAGGAAAUACGUACAAAGGGCUUUUUCUUAAUCUUGAUUCAACCCAUCAGAUUAAAAAAUACAAUACGAUUCCCAUCUGAUUUUCUUCACACAUCAUAUUAAAAAAUACAACACGAUUCCCUUCUGAUUUUCUUCACAAGAAAGUUCACAAUCAGUUUAAAAAAGAUAGCACCUUUCUGAUUCAGAAGAAGUUCAUCCUAUUUGCUCUUUUGUGUUCUUUUGAGAGAUCCAUUGUCACUUCACACCCCUGUUCUCUCUCUCUAUUUCGUUAUUUGCAUCCACCUCUCUCUCUCCCUUUGCACCUCAUGCUCUGUCAAAAGAAAUGGUCACCCCCUCUCGUCUUCUCUAUCUAAAAGUAUAAAUAUAGUGCAAAAGGAUGGUACGGUGCAUAUUGAUAUAAUUAGUAUGGUGUAUAGUUAGUAAGGAUUUCCAUGGAUUUUGCACUUGUGGUUUCUCAUGAGCUUUGAGUAAUGUAGGUUAGAGCUGUUGCUUUUCUUCUGUUUUCUUUCGGAAAUUUACCAGUAAAAUUUCAUUAAAUUGUAUAAUGUACAAGUAUUGUAACUGUAGAUAAAAAAAUGUGUCCUUGGGGCUGUCCAGACUUACGAUUGACUUACACUGGUUCGGCAUCACCUGAAGGUGCCGAUGGGCCAAUGCCACACCAUUCCAACUGGGUGUGCAAUGAUAUACAGUACAAAUUCCUCGCCAUGGCCAGACUGAUCGCUGCUCCUCUGCCAAGGUAGAUGAUCACAUAUAUUUCGUCUUGAAUAUUCCACACAUGCAAGAGGAUCCCAAGAAUAGAGAGAUGCCAUAGGAAACUGCCAAUACAUGAAGGGGAAGGGAAGAUCAGAACUUGAAUAGAGACUCAACUGAGUUCGGGCUCAGACAAUAAAAAUCCAAUAGACUUGAAAAUAGGACCUUGCCCUUUUGUAGGGCCUACAUUUGUAUCAUAUUUUAUUCAAAUAAAAUUUUGUUAUUUUUU